rnacentral:rRNA from 1 species
UCGAACGGGGAUAUGUUUGAUGAGAGCUUCGGCAGGAAUCGGAUAUAUUCUAGUGGCGGACGGGUGAGUAACGCGUGAGCAACCUGUCCCAGACAGGGGGAUAACACUUGGAAACAGGUGCUAAUACCGCAUAAGACCACGGGAUCACAUGGUUCUGGGGUAAAAGGAGCAAUCCGGUUUGGGGUGGGCUCGCGUCCGAUUAGCCAGUUGGCGGGGUAACGGCCCACCAAAGCGACGAUCGGUAGCCGACCUGAGAGGGUGAUCGGCCACAUUGGAACUGAGAGGCGGUCCAAACUCCUACGGGAGGCAGCAGUGGGGAAUAUUGGGCAAUGGGCGAAAGCCUGACCCAGCAACGCCGCGUGAGUGAAGAAGGCCUUCGGGUUGUAAAGCUCUGUUAUAGUUGACGAAGGAAGUGACGGUAGGCUAUAAGGAAGCCCCGGCUAACUACGUGCCAGCAGCCGCGGUAAUACGUAGGGGGCGAGCGUUGUCCGGAAUGACUGGGCGUAAAGGGCGUGUAGGCGGCCGAUUAAGUCUGGAGUGAAAGUCCUGUCUUUAAGGUGGGAAUUGCUUUGGAUACU